rnacentral:lncRNA from 10 species
CUCCUCUAAGGGCUCCACCCCACCUUUCUCUUUUGUCUUUGUCAAGUGGAUAUUCGCCAUAAAUUUGUAGUAAAACAUACACUGGCUGCCGUUGGCAGAGAUGAGCUCUCAGUUUGGGAGCUACUGAAUCAGGUCCUUAACCAAAUAUGAAAUGACAGAACUGUUUCCAGCGGAGGAUUAAUUGAGCCAACUCAAGGCAAACAUGACGUAUUUUGGCAUUGCUUUUGACAGAUGGAAAUAAAACAAACAUUAGCAACCGGAUUGCAGCUAACAAUAUGCAAAAUUAAAGAAGCUUGCUGCCAUCCUUUCAAAGCAUCACUGUUAAUUGCUAUAAAACAGUGUCUCCCCCGUUUGAAUUCUGGACAUGAAGACCUGAAGCUGUCAGCCAUCUAAUGGACAUCAGGGUAUUGGAGCAGAAAUCAAAAUUACUGUGUAAAAGCUGAACCAAAAUGUCAGACUCUGAGAAGCCAGCGGAUCAGUUAAAUGUCCCUUUUUUCAUGUGUUGAGUGUCUUAAUCUGGAUGUGCCACUGUAACAAAAUACCCCAAGACUGGGUAAUUUAUAAUAAUUUAAAAGGACUGAUUUCUAACACAAUAAUAAUAGAAAAAAAUGGAAUAAUAGAAAUGUCUUAUUUAUUUCUAUGACUAAGUUGAAGAUCAAGGUGCUGGCAGGUUCCAUGUCUGGUGAGGACCAGGACUCUGCUUCCAAGAUGGGGCCUUAAGCACCAUGUCCUCAUGUGACAGAGGAAAUAGAAGAAGAUGAACCCACUCCUUCAGUCUCCUUUAUAAGGGCCCUAAUCCUAUCUCGGAGUUCUGCUCUCAUGAUUUCACUGCCUCCUAAAGGCCCCCCUCUCAAUGCUACCACACUGGCAGUUGAGUUUCCACAUACAAAAUUUUGGGGACACACUCAGACCAUAGUGCUCGGUUUCUCAGAAGUAAGUUCCAGCCCAUCAUGGGAAAGUGCAAAUAGAUACAUUCUAUUAUUAGAGUUUCCAGAUAACCCAACUUCAGCGGGCUUGUGGCAGGCCAGCGUCUAUAUGCAUACUUACUCAGUGGGUCGGCAGAGGAGAAGAAACCCAUCGCCUCCUUUACAAUAGAACUGUAUACCUGGGAAACCAUGUCCCUGGCUGUGAGUGAGCUUAUCAACUUCUGCUGGGUUAACUGGCAUUUCAGGACUCCCUCUUCUCAGCUAACAUCCUCAUUGUCUGGGAUCAUAGGAAACAAAAUUGAGAAAGAAUUGUGUCACUAAGAAUUGGGAUUGGAAAUAGGGUUAAGUCUUGAGUGGAUGAUAGAAUUUUAUAAAAUAGUCACUAUUUGAGUGAUGAGUACUUAAAGCUCAAACUCCACCAUUGUGCAAUAUAUCCAUGUAACCUGCAUGUGUGCUUCUGAAUCUAAAAUAAAUUGUUUUACAAAGAAGGUUUGGGGUUUAAAUACAUUUACAUAUGUUUUGGCUGGAAGACAUAUGUUUUUUGAGAGUCAGAAUUAAGUGUGAG